rnacentral:tRNA from 1 species
GCCUCAGUGGCCUAAUGGUUAAGGCACUAGCUUCCUAAGCCAGGGAUUGUGGGUUUGAGUCUCACCUAGGAUA